UGGGGAAUAUUGCACAAUGGGCGCAAGCCUGAUGCAGCCAUGCCGCGUGUGUGAAGAAGGCCUUCGGGUUGUAAAGCACUUUCAGCGGGGAGGAAGGCGAUAAGGUUAAUAACCUCAUCGAUUGACGUUACCCGCAGAAGAAGCACCGGAUAACACCGUGCCAGCAGCCGCGGUAAUACGGAGGGUGCAAGCGUUAAUCGGAAUUACUGGGCGUAAAGCGUACGCAGGCGGUUGAUUGAGUCAGAUGUGAAAGCCCCGGGCUUAACCCGGGAAUUGCAUCUGAUACUGGUCAGCUAGAGUCUUGUAGAGGGGGGUAGAAUUCCAUGUGUAGCGGUGAAAUGCGUAGAGAUGUGGAGGAUUACCGGUGGCGAAGGCGGCCCCCUGGACAAAGACUGACGCUCAGGUGCGAAAGCGUGGGGAGCAAACAGG
rnacentral:rRNA from 1 species